GUUUGCAAGUUGUUUGUGACCCGAGGACCACAACUUUUACCCCGUUUGUGCGUUGUAUGGCGCCCUGUGAAAGCUUGCCGGACAUAUAACAGGGAAAGCGAGCAAGUGUAUGGGCCUUGGGUCAAGGUGAAAACCUGGCCAACCACCAUCCAAACAUGCCUACAGCAGUGGCACAGGGACAUCCAAGGGUGCUAAUGAACUGCUUAACAACACAUGGGGGACCCUUACCCUUGUGGCUAUAGGCCAGGAUUAAAGGUGAAGACAACCUGCAGCCAGUAACAAGGACCUCCAGCAGUUCAAUGAUAUUUCUGACCUUUCAAAGAACAGCCACACUUGGACUCAUAUCUCUUCAGACAACAGCACAAUGUCCCAUGAGGCAGUGUGCAGAGAGUCACUGGUCUGAAACUUGACUUUUCCUUACAGGAAGAAAUGGUCUUGACCUUUUACAUAGCCAUUAGAACUAGCAGACAGAGCAUUACACAUGUCAUCACAUCACCCCACUUGUGGAAAGAUACUUCUGUGUAGGUCUGAGUAUUACAUCAUUUAUUUAGAAGGAUGAUCCUGACCUUUAAAAGUAUAGACUCAACUGUCAUCUAGUAUUAACCAACUUCUUGGCUCAUCUCUUUACUCUUUGAAAUAUUGGUGACAGAUCAGUGGGUUUUACAUAGACAUACCACAUUGCUUUCAAUGUACAAAGUU